CUGCUUCAGGAACUUGGCAGCAGUGGGGUGGGCAGGCAGGGGCCCCCACAUCUCAGGGAACUGGAAUAUCUGGUGUUUGCUUCUGGGCCAGUGCUGGAAAAACUUGCUGACCUUAUAUCUGAGAGAUCUUCACUUAUAAUCCACCCUUUUCUCUACCAUCACACCACCUCUUAUUCCUGCAAAUGACUGCUUCUUGCUUUUAUAAUUAAUUACCACCUUUGUCCCGAAAUACAUAUUCUCCAACUGCUACUUAUCUGAUUAGACUCCGGAUUUCCACCUUGAGUUGUGACCCCUGGCUGAUGCACUCAUAGCCCUUCUGUCAGAUCUUUGCAGGCCCCAUGGGAUUUGGGAGCUACUCUCUUCUUAAAGACUCCUGGGCCAGAAAGUCUCAUCCACCAUGGCUGGUUCAGCUCAGAGGGGAAGAGCAUCCCUGAAUCCCCAAAUCUGUCUCCUCCCUUUGCUGUCUUAGACUCUGGCACCGGGUCUCCUCCCCAGCCUGCUGGGAAAGGCUUCCACAACCUGCCCCAUGUUCCUCUGGCCAGCUGCGCUCCUUUCCUUCCCCUGGGUCUCCUGGCCCUUCCACUUGCCCCCAUCCAGGUCUUCCAAGUGCUGAGCCUCAAAUCCAGAGAGAUCAGUGACAUCUGAGGCAUUAAUCCACAAGAGAGUAGGGCUGCUCCAAUAUCACUGAGUCAGAGCUGUCCGUUCCACCCAUCAGUUUGUCCUAUAAGGGCCGAGUUAAGAAUUCUGGGAGGUGGAGCUCCCAAGGAGGGAGGACCUUUGUUCCUACAUGCAGGUGACUCAGGGAGAGGUUUUUCCUUCCACAUUAUGGCUCUUCUCCAAGUCUCCUGCAGGGAGUUUGUGUACAUUCAGCCGGAACUUUCUCCCAGGCCCAGUGCUGCCUCACCUACACAUGGGAUGGAAAGCCACAUUCUGUCUCUUCUUGGCCCAGCCUACCUUCAAGUGGAUCCUCUAUCAAAAAAGAAAUGCUUUUGGCUCCCAAUUGAGAGUGCAUGCCUCAGAGAGUUACAACAGAUAAGGUUGUGAUGGGUGUGGCUGGAGGAAUCCAAAAGUGAGACCCAGUAGGCUGAGUAACUAGGUCAGCACCUCCACUGUGCCCUGGCCCGUGACCUUCUGGACCAGACAAGUCAGAUUGGGAAUGAAAUGCCUGGGGAACCAAGAGGACUAGGCAGAGCCAUGAAACGGAGAAAUGAUGUGUUCCAAAGCCAAAGAUGUUCCCUGCCAUGUUGGCUUUCCCCCUUAGGAGUCAUGGGACGCUGGGCAUGUUCCUCAACCUCUCUGGAUCUUUAUCCUCACCUGUAACAAGAGGAAAUGUUAAGGACGUCUUUGUCCACUUUGUUGCUAUGACAAAAAACUGGACAACUGAUAGUUUAUAAAGAAGUGUAUUUGGCUUGGGGUUCUAGAAGCUGGGAACUCCAAGAGCAGGGCGCAGGCAUCCGCUUCGCAUCUGGUGAAGGCCUUCUUGCUGCGUCGUAGCAUGGCAGAGGGCAUCACAAGGCAGGACGGAGCCAGCAUGCCAGCGAGAGCUCACUUUUCCAACAAAGCUGCUGCCGUGAUCACCCACGUCCGUGAGUGGAUUCAUGCAUUCUUGAG
rnacentral:lncRNA from 1 species